UACGUAGGAUGCGAGCGUUGUCCGGAAUUAUUGGGCGUAAAGAGAACGUAGGCGGUUUGUUAAGUUUGGGCUUAAAGACUGGGGCUCAACCCCAGGAGUGGCUCGAAAACUGACAGACUAGAGGAUGGCAGAGGAAAGUGGAAUUCCCAGUGUAGCGGUGAAAUGCGUAGAUAUUGGGAGGAACACCAGUGGCGAAGGCGGCUCACUGGACUGGUAUUGACGCUGAGGUGCGAAAGCGUGGGGAGCAAACAGG
rnacentral:rRNA from 1 species